GCGAGCGAAACGGAAAGAGCCCAAACCGACUUUAGAGUCGGGGUUGUAGGACCUCUCUAUAAGAGUUACAAAUUCAUAACAUAGUUGAACUUUUCUGGAAAGUUAGACGAAACAAGGUGACAGUCCUGUAAACGAAAUGUUAUGAACUCUUUGAGGUAUCCUGAGUACAACGAGACACGAGAAAUCUUGUUGGAAUCUGCGGGGACCAUCCCGUAAGGCUAAAUACUCUCUAAUGACCGAUAGUGAACAAGUACCGUGAGGGAAAGGUGAAAAGAACCCCGGGAGGGGAGUGAAAUAGAAACUGAAACCGUAUGCUUACAAAAAGUUCGAGCACAUUAAUGUGUGAGAGCGUGCCUUUUGCAGAAUGAACCGGCGAGUUAUUGUAUUAUGCAAGGUUAAGUCGAACAGAUGGAGCCGAAGCGAAAGCGAGUCUGAAUAGGGCGCUUAAGUAUGAUGCAAUAGACCCGAAACCGAGUGAUCUAGCCAUGAGCAGGUUGAAGUUGGGGUAAGACCCAAUGGAGGACCGAACCGAUAUGCCCGGAAACGCGUACGGAUGACUUGUGGUUAGCGGAGAAAUUCCAAACGAACUCGGAGAUAGCUGGUUCUCCCCGAAAUAGGUUUAGGCCUAGCCUUGAUUGAAUCUGCCCGGAGGUAGAGCACUGAAUGUGCGAUGGCGUCGUCUAGAUGUACUGAGUACAAUCAAACUCCGAAUGCUGGGUAGUACUAAUCAGGAGUCACUGUAUGGGUGAUAACGUCCAUACGGGAGAGGAAAAGAAUCCGGAUCGCCAGCUAAGGUCCCAAAAUUUGUGUUAAGUGGGAAAGGAUGUAGAGUUGUCAAAACAGCUAGGAGGUUGGCUUAGAAGCAGCCACCCUUUAAAGAGUGCGUAAUAGCUCACUAGUCGAGUGACACUGCGCCGAAGAUGUACCGGGGCUAAACACAAUACCGAAGCUGCGGACUUGCAUGUAAGUGCAAGUGGUAGGGGAGCGUUCUAAGUGCAGAGAAGGUAGACCGUAAGGACUGCUGGAGCGCUUAGAAGUGAGAAUGCCGGUGUGAGUAACGAAAAUUGGGUGAGAAUCCCAUUCACCGUUUGACUAAGGGUUCCUGGGUAAAGUUCGUCUUCCCAGGGUAAGUCAGGACCUAAGAUGAGGCUGAAAAGCGUAGUCGAUGGACAACAGGUUGAUAUUCCUGUACCACCUAUAUGACUGAAGGAGUGACGGAGAAAGCUAGUGAGAGCCAGUUAAUGGAUUCUGGUCUAAGUGCGUAGGCUAGUAUGUUGGCAAAUCCGCAAUACUAUAACAGCUGAAACAUGAUGGGGAAGAGAGUCUUCGGACAAUCGAACUUUCAUGAUGCUAUGCUUCCAAGAAAAGCUUCUAGGGUUAAUCGUAUAGGUGCCUGUACCGACAACCGACACAGGUGGUCAAGGAGAGUAUCCUAAGGUGAGCGAGAGAACUAUGGUUAAGGAACUCGGCAAAAUGACCCCGUAACUUCGGGAGAAGGGGUGGUCUAGCGAUAGACCCGCAGUGAAUAGGCCCAGGCAACUGUUUACCAAAAACACAGGUCUCUGCUAACACGUAAGUGGAUGUAUAGGGGCUGACGCCUGCCCAGUGCUGGAAGGUUAAAGAGAUUAGUUAGUAUGACGUAAGUCGAUAAUACGAAGCUUUGAACUGAAGCCCCAGUGAACGGCGGCCGUAACUAUAACGGUCCUAAGGUAGCGAAAUUCCUUGUCAGGUAAGUUCUGACCCGCACGAAAGGCGUAAUGAUCUGGGUACUGUCUCAACCAUAGACUCGGUGAAAUCUUAAUACCUGUGAAAAUGCAGGUUACCCGCGACUGGACGGAAAGACCCCGUGGAGCUUUACUGUAGCUUGAUAUUGGAAUUCGGUAAACUAUGUAGAGCAUAGGUGGGAGACUAUGAGAUUAAGGCGCCAGCCUUAAAGGAGUCACCAUUGGAAUACCACCCUUAGUUUAUUGGAUUUCUAACCUAGGACCAUAAUCUGGUUCAGGGACAGUGUCUGGUGGGCAGUUUGACUGGGGCGGUCGCCUCCUAAAGAGUAACGGAGGCGUUCAAAGGUUCGCUCAGCUUGAACGGAAAUCAAGCAAAAGAGUGCAAACGCAGAAGCGAGCCUAACUGCGAGACUGACGGGUCGAGCAGUAACGAAAGUUGGAGUUAGUGAUCCGGUGGUAUGUGAGUGG
rnacentral:rRNA from 1 species